rnacentral:rRNA from 1 species
AGAGUUUGAUCCUGGCUCAGGACGAACGCUGGCGGCGUGCCUAAUACAUGCAAGUAGAACGCUGAAGGAGGAGCUUGCUUCUCCGGAUGAGUUGCGAACGGGUGAGUAACGCGUAGGUAACCUGCCUGGUAGCGGGGGAUAACUAUUGGAAACGAUAGCUAAUACCGCAUAAGAGUAGAUGUUGCAUGACAUUUGCUUAAAAGGUGCAAUUGCAUCACUACCGGAUGGACCUGCGUUGUAUUAGCUAGUUGGUGGGGUAACGGCUCACCAAGGCGACGAUACAUAGCCGACCUGAGAGGGUGAUCGGCCACACUGGGACUGAGACACGGCCCAGACUCCUACGGGAGGCAGCAGUAGGGAAUCUUCGGCAAUGGACGGAAGUCUGACCGAGCAACGCCGCGUGAGUGAAGAAGGUUUUCGGAUCGUAAAGCUCUGUUGUAAGAGAAGAACGAGUGUGAGAGUGGAAAGUUCACACUGUGACGGUAUCUUACCAGAAAGGGACGGCUAACUACGUGCCAGCAGCCGCGGUAAUACGUAGGUCCCGAGCGUUGUCCGGAUUUAUUGGGCGUAAAGCGAGCGCAGGCGGUUAGAUAAGUCUGAAGUUAAAGGCUGUGGCUUAACCAUAGUACGCUUUGGAAACUGUUUAACUUGAGUGCAAGAGGGGAGAGUGGAAUUCCAUGUGUAGCGGUGAAAUGCGUAGAUAUAUGGAGGAACACCGGUGGCGAAAGCGGCUCUCUGGCUUGUAACUGACGCUGAGGCUCGAAAGCGUGGGGAGCAACCAGAGAUUAGAUACCCUGGUAGUCCCCGCCGUAAAC